rnacentral:rRNA from 1 species
GUAGGUGGCAAGCGUUGUCCGGAAUUAUUGGGCGUAAAGCGCGCGCAGGCGGUUCUUUAAGUCUGAUGUGAAAGCCCACGGCUCAACCGUGGAGGGUCAUUGGAAACUGGAGAACUUGAGUACAGAAGAGGAAAGCGGAAUUCCACGUGUAGCGGUGAAAUGCGUAGAGAUGUGGAGGAACACCAGUGGCGAAGGCGGCUUUCUGGUCUGUAACUGACGCUGAGGCGCGAAAGCGUGGGGAGCAAACAGGGAUUAGAUACCCUGGUAGUCCACGCCGUAAACGAUGAGUGCUAAGUGUUAGGGGGUUUCCCGCCCCUUAGUGCUGCAGCUAACGCAUUAAGCACUCCGCCUGGGGGAGUACGGCCCGCAAGGCUG